UACGUAGGGUGCGAGCGUUGUCCGGAAUUAUUGGGCGUAAAGAGCUCGUAGGCGGUCUGUCGCGUCUGCUGUGAAAAUCCGGGGCUCAACCCCGGACUUGCAGUGGGUACGGGCAGACUGGAGUGUGGUAGGGGAGACUGGAAUUCCUGGUGUAGCGGUGGAAUGCGCAGAUAUCAGGAGGAACACCGAUGGCGAAGGCAGGUCUCUGGGCCACUACUGACGCUGAGAAGCGAAAGCAUGGGGAGCGAACAGG
rnacentral:rRNA from 1 species